rnacentral:rRNA from 1 species
UACGUAGGGUGCAAGCGUUAAUCGGAAUUACUGGGCGUAAAGCGUGCGCAGGCGGUUAUAUAAGACAGUUGUGAAAUCCCCGGGCUCAACCUGGGAACUGCAUCUGUGACUGUAUAGCUAGAGUACGGUAGAGGGGGGGAUGGAAUUCCGCGUGUAGCAGUGAAAUGCGUAGAUAUGCGGAGGAACACCGAUGGCGAAGGCAAUCCCCUGGGCCUGCACUGACGCUCAUGCACGAAAGCGUGGGGAGCAAACAGG